UGUGUUUGAUAUGAUUGAGAGAGUUAAAGAUCAGUAUCUACUUUGGUUUGCUUCUUUGUCGGAGUUAGCUGAUGAUCGAAGCUUCUUGUGAGAGGUUAAAAGGAAAGUUACAUUGUUUAUUUUAAUGUUAUGUGUUCUACAAUACAUUUGUUCAGGUUAAUUAUUUAAUGGCUUUUGAGUUUUGACAAUGAUCUAUUUCAAGAGAAGGAUCGAUCAUUUUUGUUUUCGUUCUCAGACCAUGACUUCAACACAGCGUUGUUAUGGGAUUACUAAUGGUAAAGUCCAAAUAUGUUUUUCUGUGUCCAUAACUUGUCGGUGUAGUUCACUGAUGACUCUUGAGAAAGAUUGAACCAACGCAUUAUUUUGCAUUUCAUAAGUUUAUUAUCCCAUUCACGGAGUUAACAACUUCCACAAAUG
rnacentral:lncRNA from 1 species